AGACAUUUCCAAUCGAGUAUGACGAGGGGGACGUGGGAGAUCUUGUGCCACUCUAUCAUACCCCUCCUGCCUCCUCCAGUAGCAUCGUCGCACUGAUCGCUCGGACAUACUAAUCUUCAUUUCUUUCAGGCUGGGAGGAAGGCCGUCCUCCGGCAUCCAUCGGAUCCGCAGACUUAAAGAGAGACUGAAGGCGUCUCGAGGCGUUGGCUACUGACCGUGGAUCCUCGCAUGAUUCCGACGAUAGCUCUUGGAGAGAGGUGAGACACUGAAACCACGCUUAUAUUUUAUAGAGUUGUUUUUUAUAUUUCUACAGUUUAGUUAAUAUAAUUUUACUUGAAAAAAAAAAAGAAAAACAGAGCUAUACACGAAGUAUUUGAAGGCAUCAACUAAUUUAGCUAAUAAAAAUUUUAACAGUACAUAACAAAAUUCUGAACUCAAAUAUCAUCUUCGUCAAUAAAAAAAGAAAAAAAAAACCAAAGAUAAACUGAUUGUUUCUACUCAAACUAAUAGUCCUUCGGAAACAUAGAGCGGAUGCUAUGUUCCUGAAGUCAAAGAGUGUGUGUUGCACUCAAACGUGUAGAGAAUUCCAUAGGGAGAUGCAGGAAUUCGGCCAAAUGGAUGAUUACACCUAACUUGAAUUGAUUCGAACUUAGUAUCGAUGCGGUCAUGGGUUGAUAGUCAAGGUGGCAUUAGAUUCGUUAUUCGUGACUCUAACGGGACUGCUGCCUGUAUGCUGUUAUGGUGAUUUCUGUAUGCUGUUGUUAACCUUUAUCCUCUAUAGAGAGGAGAACUCCUCGGUUGAUUUCUAUAUGCUGUCGUUAACCUCUAUUCUACGAAAGAGAGGAGAACGCAAAGAGAGGAGAACGUCACUCAUGCCGUGAACUUUUAUAGUGAUGUGAUAUAAAGAAAGAGUUAAACUUUUAUAUACAAAUAAAUACACAUAAUCAAAUAGAAUACUAAGAUUCAAAUGAAAAAUCCCUCAACGGGAUAAAUCAGAUUUAAUCUAAUAUAAAAAUAAUAAAUAUAUAAAUCUCAAUAUUUUUUUUAAAACCCAAGCAACAAUCACAAGAGAAUAACUGGGAUACAAGGAUUACGUCACUGUAUACAAUAUCCAAAUUCUCCCUAAGUAAUCACAGCAAGAAUCUACUGUAGAUCUAAUAUAACAUUAGAUGAGAACACUGCCUAGAUGAUUGAUAACAGUCUCUCUAUAUUGUCCUUGUCUUCUUCCCUUUCAUUCUCUUAUUUUUCUAUCGUUUUCUCUUCUUUUUUAAUCAUGUUACUGCUAUAGUUUUCUGCCCCUGCUACUAUAAUUUUUCCUUCGUUUAGGUUCAAAAAGGGGUGGGCUAUGGGCUGUUAAAGCCCACUAUGAGUUGUUAAAGCCCACUAUGGGCUAUACUUGUGGGUUGUCAGCCCAACAACCUCUCCUUUCAGCUUAUAAGGGAGGUUGUCCCAUGACUCCUCAAUGCGAAGCCAUGUUGACCAGCUGUCGAUAUAUCUCCUGUCUUUCUUUUGGUAAGGUCUUUGUCAAUAUGUUUGCUCCGUUGUUAUUUGUGUGAAUUUUCUAAAGUUGAAACUGCUUCUCUUCAAAUACAUUUCGAAUAUAGUGGUAUCUGACAUCUAUAUGCUUUGAUUUGGAAUGAAAAGUUGAGUUCUUACACAAAUGGAUGGCACUCUGACUGUCACAAUUCACUAUAUUGUUUUUCUAUUUUAGUCCCAAUUCUUAUAAGAAUUCUUUCAUCUAUAACAUUUCUUUAUAAAUCUCUGUAGUAGCAAUAUAUUCU
rnacentral:lncRNA from 1 species